ensembl:lncRNA
UUGUAUUAGAGACCUGAGAGAGCUCCCUAGUUCCUGCUACCUAGUGAGGAUACACGAGAGGCAUCUGUGGAGCCCCACCUCUGGUCCUAGACCCAGAAUGGUUGGAUGCUAAAAAGGAAUACUCCGUGGACCUCUGCUGUGUUCCAGGCACUUGAAAUUUCCUGUUGGAUCCUAUGCAAAGAGAGACUGUUGAGAGUCCCUUGGGCUGCAAGAAGAUCAAACCAGUCCAUCCUAAAGGAAAUCAGUCCUGAAUAUUCAUUGGAAGGACUAAUGCUAAAGCUAAAGCUCCAGUACUUUGGCCACCUGAUGGGAAGAAUCAACUCACUGGAAAAGAUGGUGAUGCUGGGAAAGAUUGAAGGCGGGAGGAGAAGGGGACGACAGAGGAUGAGAUGGUUGGAUGGCAUCGCUGACUCAGUGGACAUGAGUUUGAGGUCUCUUGCUUUGCACAGUUCCAGAAGGCACCAUUCAUGAUGCAGUCUGAGCUCUGCCUGGGGCUGAUUUUACUGAGAUUAUUACCAUGACUAGUGCUGACUGCCCAGAGUUGGGUGAUGUGGAGACUGGAGCUCCAGAAGUGAGGCAUCUUUUUUUUGCCUAGUUUGAUCAUUGCCAUGUCCCCAUACCCAGAACGAUGCCUGACCUAUAUUAAACUGAAAUACAUGUUGAAAGAAAGAAUGAAAUCCUCCAAAGAGAAC